ensembl:lncRNA
GAAGCAUUCAUGGACUUCUGUAAGCAAUUCCUGCCCAACUUUGCUGAAAUUCGACGUGUUCUAAUGAGUCACGUGGGUCCGACUCACUACCAAAAGCUCAACCAGCUGGUUGCAGGAGACACCAGUGCGGCCGACGUUGAUUGGAGUACAAAUCAAAAUAAGCCGUACAGAGACGCACUCACGGCUUUGAGCGACGGCAUAAAGACAUUGUUCCCUGACAAAGUGGAUAUGACUCCCAUCAACAAUACCAAGCAGGCAACGGCUGAGUCCGUCCAUGAUUACUACCAAAGACUUCUCACAGUGUUUAAUCUUAACAGUGGCAUUCCACAACCCGUCGUGUUAGGAGACGCUCUGGGGACGUGGGAAUCACACCUGAAGAAUGCUUUCAUGAAUGAACUAUUGCCCGACAUAAAAAUGACUGUGCAGCGUUCUGUUGCUGGAAUGGAAGACUCGCGGCUCGCGGAUGUAAAGAAACAUGCUGCGCAUGCGCAAUCCAUGGAUAUAGAGAGAAUUUACCACGAGGGGAAAAGGCGUUCACAUCAGAUUGAACUCGCCCAACUGACUAUGCUCCAAGCUGUCACUCAACUUGCCAGAAACGACCGCCCAUGGGAUCCCAACCAACGGGGCGAAUUCAGGGGGCGUGGUCGGGGCAUGAUGAGGGGACGCUCCUUCUGGAACCAGGAGGGAUCACAGCUGUAUCCACCCAAUGACAAUGAUACGUGUUUCCGCUGUGGCGAACAAGGACAUUGGCACAGUGAAUGUCCACAAAAAGCACCUUGUAGAGGAUGGGGGCGUGGACUGGCCAGACGAGGAAGGGGUGGAAACGCAACAACAAGCUCUCAUGGACAUCACAGAGCAAUUGAGAACACAACAAAAGCUUUCACUUAAACACACAUAUGCAAAGUUUUCAGGAAAAUCAUUUGAAAAUAUGCCCACCACUAUGAUGCAAAUUCAAGGGAAACUUUUAUCGUUUUUGGUUGAUUCAGGGGCUACACAUUCUGUAAUACAACAAAAGUAUUUUCCAGGUCAGAAACUUAGUGGAACUCACAAGGAGCUUCAGGGAUGUCCAUUGUAGAGAGAUUUACGGCACCUAUGACCAGUACACACACUGACUCAACUGACCCUGAACCAGACAUCACAGUAAAACAUUCCUUUUUGCUGUCCUCUUGCUGUCCCAUUAAUCUACUGGGCAGAGACCUCAUGUGUUCUUUCGGCAUUAGCCUCAUCUCCACUCCUACAGGGUGGCAAGUGGUGAGAUGCAGAGCCAUUGACCAGAUGGCAAAGACAGUUAUGAGUGAUCCAAUGUUUGUGUACCAGUGGUGGCUUCCGGUUGACCCACAAUCAGAACUGUCCCACCUGGCAGCAUCACGCGUCCAGCCUGAGGCAGAGUGCAUGGAUGCUUCAUAUCUUCACUGCACAUCUCAUGUGUCACAUGCAUUAUUUCUACAGGAUCUGAAUGAUCAAAUUGCAUGUAUGACAUUGUUUUGGUCCACACUUAAAUGUGCUGUUUCCGUUUCUCUCACCCCCUCUCAGCAGCACCUCUUUAAUGUGGACUCUUCUUUCCCGCACAUCUCCUUGUCUAAAGCAGCAACAGACCAAUGGAGAGAUUUGGGACCUUUUGUCGCAGCGUGCGAGGCGUUGGCAGAUUGGGAGGCUACACCAGAUCCAAUUUUCUGUUCCAGACACCUUGUGGGCAGCGCAUAAAUAUGACGUGGGACUGUCAACCUGUGGUCAUCACUCCUCGAUCAGACUUCCGUCCCCACAAACAUCAAUACCCACUGCGCCAAGAGGUCAUUGACGGUAUAACACCGGUGUUCAACUCCCUCUUAAAGGCCGGAGUCAUGUCCUGACUCGCCGAUGGAGAGGAGCAUAAUUGUUUGGCUGAGCUGGAGGCUCAGUGCACACCUCGACCAGACCUCGCAGAUACACCUCUGCUCAACAGUGACAUGACUCAGCUGUUCUGUGUUCCGGCCCUCUUCCAUGUCACCUCUCAGCCCAAGCAGCAGAAUUAAUCGCACUAACAGAAGCUUGUAAACUAGCUAAGGAUAAAACGACAACCAUUCACACUGAUUCCAGAUACGCUUUUGGCGGGGUUCAUGAUUUUGGCGCGCUGUGGAAAUACAGAAAUUUUCUCAAAUCAGAUGGCAAACCAGUGUUACACCACACUCUUGGCAUGGCAGAACUAUUGGAUGCCAUUUUGUUGCCCACAGCUAUUGCCGUUUGUAAAUGUGCAGCGCACACAUCCGGCACAGGCGACAUCGCAAAGGGGAAUGAGCGAGCAGACUUAGCUGCAAAAGCGGCUGCUAGACGUCCUCUUCCCAAACCAUCACGCCCAGUUCCUGCCAUGUGUCUGAUCUAAGUCUGUUUUGCCUUGUUUUCUGAAGCAAAUAAGACUUGUAUCCUUAAACUCUCAUUUUGUCAAAACACCACAUGGUGUUUGUUCACUGAUUAGGGUGUCAAGCUAUUGGUGCUUUGCAUUUUGAGGAGUUUCUGUCGAGGCCAAUCGACCUUUUGUCUCCUAAACGACGGGGGAGCGGCCAGCGCAGCCGUUCAGAGGUUAAAAUCCCCUUCCUAGACCUGAACUAGUCAGUGUGCAUCUCUUCUACAAGGCCACCAGACAUCCAGGCGACCUGAAAUCGGAAGUAUCUCUUUCUUUAAACCAAGCUAGUCUGCUAAAUUUGCUGUUGAUUCUAGUGUCUUAAGUUAAUUUGAUUGCUGAUUUGCUUUAGUUUUU